rnacentral:lncRNA from 1 species
CACGCCCCGAUCCUCUUUUUUUUCUUUUUUUUUUCUCUCCGACCCUCCUCCAUCACUUCCCCGGCUCCUUACAGUAAAGAGGGUAGCAUCACGUCCUCUUGCUCUUCUUUUUUCUCUCAAUUUUUUUUUUCUCUUCAACCCCCCUCUACCGCCUCCGUGAACCUUCACGACGGUAACGAGAAUAGUGCUUCCGCCUUCACCAGCGCAGGCACUGACGUUGGUGUCGGAGAAUGAGGACUCGGAAUAAGUGUGGGUGAGAGCGGAGCCGGAAAAAAAAAAUAUAGAAAAUAAAAAAAUAAAAAGAAUAAAGAAUAAAAUAUGAAGAAAAAUAGUUUUUUCUGUAAGAAAAAUAAAGAACCACAGAGAAAAGAAAAGGAUGAUGAAUUUGCGCCGUUUCAGAAAAAUGUUGUACUCUUUCAGGAGAAUGUUGCACGAUUUUAGAAGAACGUUGCACUGCUUUAGAGGAAAAUAUACUUUUUUAGAUGAAAGUUAUACUAUUUGAAUAAAAGUUGUACUCUUCGAACGAAAAUUACGUUAUUUGAAUAAAAAUUACACUAUUUCUCCUCAUCCUCUUCACUUUCUGGCUAAAUAGUGCAAUUUUCGACAAAAUAGUAUAAUUUUCUUUCAAAUAGUACAAUUUUCGUUCAAAAAGUGCAAUUUUUAUCUAAGAAAGUAUUUUUUUUUCUCUCAA